rnacentral:rRNA from 1 species
GGCAGCACAGUAAGAGCUUGCUCUUAUGGGUGGCGAGUGGCGGACGGGUGAGGAAUACAUCGGAAUCUACCUUUUCGUGGGGGAUAACGUAGGGAAACUUACGCUAAUACCGCAUACGACCUUCGGGUGAAAGCAGGGGACCUUCGGGCCUUGCGCGGAUAGAUGAGCCGAUGUCGGAUUAGCUAGUUGGCGGGGUAAAGGCCCACCAAGGCGACGAUCCGUAGCUGGUCUGAGAGGAUGAUCAGCCACACUGGAACUGAGACACGGUCCAGACUCCUACGGGAGGCAGCAGUGGGGAAUAUUGGACAAUGGGCGCAAGCCUGAUCCAGCCAUACCGCGUGGGUGAAGAAGGCCUUCGGGUUGUAAAGCCCUUUUGUUGGGAAAGAAAAGCAAUCGAUUAAUACCCGGUUGUUCUGACGGUACCCAAAGAAUAAGCACCGGCUAACUUCGUGCCAGCAGCCGCGGUAAUACGAAGGGUGCAAGCGUUACUCGGAAUUACUGGGCGUAAAGCGUGCGUAGGUGGUUGUUUAAGUCUGUUGUGAAAGCCCUGGGCUCAACCUGGGAAUUGCAGUGGAUACUGGGCAACUAGAGUGUGGUAGAGGGUAGUGGAAUUCCCGGUGUAGCAGUGAAAUGCGUAGAGAUCGGGAGGAACAUCCAUGGCGAAGGCAGCUACCUGGACCAACACUGACACUGAGGCACGAAAAGCGUGGGGGAGCAAACAGGAUUAGAUACCCUGGUAGUCCACGCCCUAAACGAUGCGAACU